UACGGAGGGUGCAAGCGUUAUCCGGAUUCACUGGGUUUAAAGGGUGCGUAGGCGGGUAUGUAAGUCAGUGGUGAAAUCUCGAAGCUUAACUUCGAAACUGCCAUUGAUACUAUAUAUCUUGAAUAUUGUGGAGGUUUGCGGAAUAUGUCAUGUAGCGGUGAAAUGCUUAGAUAUGACAUAGAACACCUAUUGCGAAGGCAGCAGGCUACACAUAUAUUGACGCUGAGGCACGAAAGCGUGGGGAUCAAACAGG
rnacentral:rRNA from 1 species